rnacentral:rRNA from 1 species
AAGCUUGCUUCUCUUGAGAGCGGCGGACGGGUGAGUAAUGCCUAGGAAUCUGCCUGGUAGUGGGGGAUAACGUUCGGAAACGGACGCUAAUACCGCAUACGUCCUACGGGAGAAAGCAGGGGACCUUCGGGCCUUGCGCUAUCAGAUGAGCCUAGGUCGGAUUAGCUAGUUGGUGGGGUAAUGGCUCACCAAGGCGACGAUCCGUAACUGGUCUGAGAGGAUGAUCAGUCACACUGGAACUGAGACACGGUCCAGACUCCUACGGGAGGCAGCAGUGGGGAAUAUUGGACAAUGGGCGAAAGCCUGAUCCAGCCAUGCCGCGUGUGUGAAGAAGGUCUUCGGAUUGUAAAGCACUUUAAGUUGGGAGGAAGGGCUGUUAAUUAAUACGCUGCUGUUUUGACGUUACCGACAGAAUAAGCACCGGCUAACUCUGUGCCAGCAGCCGCGGUAAUACAGAGGGUGCAAGCGUUAAUCGGAAUUACUGGGCGUAAAGCGCGCGUAGGUGGUUUGUUAAGUUGGAUGUGAAAUCCCCGGGCUCAACCUGGGAACUGCAUUCAAAACUGACUGACUAGAGUAUGGUAGAGGGUGGUGGAAUUUCCUGUGUAGCGGUGAAAUGCGUAGAUAUAGGAAGGAACACCAGUGGCGAAGGCGACCACCUGGACUAAUACUGACACUGAGGUGCGAAAGCGUGGGGAGCAAACAGGAUUAGAUACCCUGGUAGUCCACGCCGUAAACGAUGUCAACUAGCCGUUGGAAGCCUUGAGCUUUUAGUGGCGCAGCUAACGCAUUAAGUUGACCGCCUGGGGAGUACGGCCGCAAGGUUAAAACUCAAAUGAAUUGACGGGGGCCCGCACAAGCGGUGGAGCAUGUGGUUUAAUUCGAAGCUACGCGAAGAACCUUACCAGGCCUUGACAUCCAAUGAACUUUCUAGAGAUAGA